rnacentral:rRNA from 1 species
UGGGUAACCUGCCCUUCACUUCGGGAUAACUCCGGGAAACCGGGGCUAAUACUGGAUAUGACUCGAACAGGCAUCUGUUUCGGGUGGAAAGAUUUAUUGGUGGAGGAUGGACUCGCGGCCUAUCCGCUAGUUGGUGUGGGUAAUGGCCCACCAAGCGACGACGGU